GCCUGACUGUGGAAGACUACAGAAAACAGAUCUUACGUCAUCCAAAAUCCAGGUGCCUCCUCGGGGGAAAUCGCCGCGCCAUUGAACUCAGCCACAUGGUGGCGCCAAAGAGUAAGAUCAGCCUUGUAUAGACUUCAUUCACGAGGUUGGCCUGCUUGUGGAGAAACUCAGUCAUAUUGAGCAGGCAUGUACUUCUGCCAUUGAGCUGUACUCAAAUUUCUUGUGAUGCACUCCUGUCUGUGACUCACUCUUCACAUUGGAGCUCUCAAGAUGACGCUGCACUGGGAGGAGAGUGAGAACUUCCAUCUUAAAAACUUCUCAGUAAAUACUAACUAUCCAGACUGAUCAAGUAGCAAAUGCCUAGUCAUCAGUUCCUCUAGUUAGCAGAUAAAGGUCACUGAAAGCCAUUA
rnacentral:lncRNA from 1 species